UGCCUAAUAUGAUCACAAGUUGUAUUGAGAUGAACUACUCCUGACUAUCUUUAUUUUGUCUAUAGAAUGGUGUCAUUCUAAGGCGAUUACCAGAGCCAUAGAUGGUUCUAUUGCUGUUGACAAAAAGUGUGUGGAGCUGGAGCUGCUGAUACAGAAGUCGUGACAAGUACUAAUCUGGUCACAUAAUCAUCUAGACAAAGGGAAACUUCUUAGCCAGUCUUCGACAAUUCUUGAACCGACUUUUCAAAUGGAUCAGCUGCAUGACCCUGCAGAUUUUUUGCAGCCUAUGAGAAGUUCGAAAACACACGUAAAGAAUUGAAGAAACAGAGAGGUGAAGACCCAAAUGAGCGCCAAAUUCCC